rnacentral:rRNA from 1 species
UACGGGGGGUGCGAGCGUUGUCCGGAAUCACUGGGCGUAAAGGGCGCGUAGGUGGCGUCGUAAGUCUGUGGUGAAAGCCCGGAGCUCAACUCCGGGUCUGCCGCGGAUACUGCGAGGCUUGAGUGCUGUAGAGGGGGGGUAGAAUGCCGGGUGUAGCGGUGGAAUGCGCAGAUAUCAGGAGGAACACCGGUGGCGAAGGCGGGUCUCUGGGCAACAACUGACGCUGGAGGAGCGAAAGCGUGGGGAGCGAACAGG